GUGGCAGCCGCCGCGGUAAUACCGGCAGCCCGAGUGAUGGCCGAUCUUAUUGGGCCUAAAGCGUCCGUAGCUGGCUGCGCAAGUCCGUCGGGAAAUCCACUCGCCCAACGAGUGGGCGUCCGACGGAAACUGCACAGCUUGGGACCGGAAGGCUCGAAGGGUACGUUCGGGGUAGGAGUGAAAUCCCAUAAUCCCGCACGGACCACCGAUGGCGAAAGCACUUUGAGAAAACGGAUCCGACAGUGAGGGACGAAAGCUAAGAUCGCGAACCGGAUUAGAAACCCGAGUAGUCC
rnacentral:rRNA from 1 species